rnacentral:piRNA from 1 species
UUCGUUUGGAAAAACCGCAAG